AACUUUUUGCUCAUUUGUUUCCCAAAGCUCCAGCCAUGGGUGGAGGACGGAAGAAAUUUAAGGUCGGGCGAACUCUAAAGCAUAAAAAAAUGUGAUGCAAAAAAUCAAAGUAGUGAUUCCAAAGAUAAUCACCUAAUACAAUAUAAAAAUAAAAUAAAAUAGUAGAACUUUGAAACAUACCGAUUAUGAAGAUUUAAUGCCGUCCAGAAGCCCCAGG
rnacentral:lncRNA from 1 species